UGGGAUGGCACAACCAUGUUGUAGUGCAGCUGACAAUCACCAUUAUUUCCCUCAUCACUGGCACCUACAGGCACCUGGGUAUCAAGAAGACCCAUGGGUACUUUAGAAAGAAAUUCUACACAGCUGGAGGAGCUAAGAAAAGAAAUCCUGCAAGGCAUCAGCAUGAAAUGCUGCACAGACAGCAACAGCAAGAAGGCAAAGCUUUGGAACACACACUGCUGGAAGAAUUAGAGGGAACUUCAGCACUCCACAGAGUGAUGGAUAAUCAUUCAAAACAUGGAAAAACCUGAAACAGGGGAGCACUCCUAUCACUAAUGAAGAUGCAUCAUCACUGGGCUUGGCUCAAAGACCAUUAAAGCUUCCGAGUGGUUCCAGUGGGAAUGAGAACAACCCUUUUCCUGGAGAAAUAGAGUCAUAUAUUAAGUCUUAAUUGGAAGAGCCUCCACAAGGAUUUUCCCUCUGAGGAGAAGGAGCUUUUGUGGAUAUAAUUGUUUUGGAGGGAGUAAUUAUUCCAUGGACAUUUCCCAGGGUGAAUGAUGGCUUUUUUGUCUAUUUUCCAGAGAGUGGAGGAGCUGUAGCUGUCUUUUUAUGGACCGAUGGCAUUACCUAGCAAGCUGGGGACAGGCUGCUGUUUCAACAUAUAUGCACAGCAGUGGGAACAAGUUUUGUACAAUUUAGCUGAAUAUUUCUCUAUUAUUCUUUACCCUCGAGCAUGACACAGUUUGCAGCAAUUGAUAGACUUAGCUGAACAGUGAGAUAAAAAAUUACAAAUAAGACUGGCUGGAAGCUGCUAUUCUGUUGCAAUUAGAAGAGUGUAAACUCAGACAGAUCUCAAGUCUUGUCAGUCUCAGUUCCCUGCCUGCAAAGCAGAGGAUUCAGUUUCUUUUCCUCAGAGCAGCAUAAUUGUAUAAAGUAUAAAUAUCUGCAGAGUUAAGUGUUUU